rnacentral:lncRNA from 1 species
CUUGCCUCAGCUGCAAGUUUCUGCUGCGUCGAAAGGAAUCCUCUGAUAGAAGUGUCAGUUAUCACCCAAGCGAUGCCAGGGGAGAAAGGAAAAGCAGAAAGAAAGGAGAAUAUCUUCUAAUCACAGCAUUUAAAAGGCAGCUACACGAAGACUUGUUCCAUAUUUUUAAAGGAACAUUGCAUAGUUUAAUCACAUUCUUUACUGUGAACUUACAGAGGUGAGUGCUUCUCAUGUUGUAUCUAAACAUUCUCUUUUCCAAAGCGAAUGUGCACCAGCUAGCCACAGUCACAGGUAAAAGUGCCUGGGAGAUCUUGAGAAAUUAUCAUUAUUAACAAGGAAUCAAUUCAAUUGUGUUUAGCUAUCGAGAAUACAAACAUCCUUCUGUGAUACAAACUAAAAUUUUUGUUUUGGCAUAAAGCAAAGCCUAGAUUUAUUCCAGAUUAAUAUAUAUAUUAGAUUUUUAAUGUAUGUUAAAUUGUGUUAAUAUGCUCACAUAUUUUCUAAUGUUGAUUUCUGGAGAAAAUACUGCAAAGUAGGCUUAUAAAAUAGCGUGUACAACCCAAGAAGUGUUUGGAUUUGUAUAUAUAUGUAUUCAUAUAUGUUGUGCAUGUUCAUAUGUAGGCUUUCAGUUCUUAGCCUUUGAGAUGAACUAAUUCAGUCUGAAGUGUUUGA